rnacentral:piRNA from 1 species
UGUUUAAUGUCUAUUGUAAUG